rnacentral:sRNA from 1 species
AAAACUCAAAACGCACAGAUUGGUUUCA